UACAGAGGGUGCGAGCGUUAAUCGGAAUUACUGGGCGUAAAGCGCACGUAGGCGGCUUUGCAAGUCGGUUGUGAAAUCCCCGGGCUCAACCUGGGAACUGCAUCCGAGACUGCAUUGCUAGAGUAUGGGAGAGGAAAGCGGAAUUUCUGGUGUAGCAGUGAAAUGCGUAGAUAUCAGAAGGAACAUCAGUGGCGAAGGCGGCUUUCUGGACCAAUACUGACGCUGAGGUGCGAAAGCGUGGGGAGCAAACAGG
rnacentral:rRNA from 1 species